AAGCCAGUCUGCUCAGAUUGUGUUUCUGCGGAAAUUUUUUAUAAUUGGCGAUAGCAAUGCCAUGUUACAAGCCUUAAUGACGGGGUCUUUAAGGUCCCUGAAAGUGGCUAUAUGA
ensembl:snoRNA